ensembl:snRNA U6 U6 spliceosomal RNA
CAUUCAUUUGUGGCAGCACAAAUUAAAAUUGGAAAGAUACAGAGAUGAUUAGUAUGACCACUAAGUAAGAAUGACAUGCAGGUUCGUGAAUCAUUCCAUAUUUUU